rnacentral:rRNA from 1 species
GAUGAACGCUAGCGGGAGGCCUAACACAUGCAAGCCGAGCGGUAUUUGUUCUUCGGAACAGAGAGAGCGGCGCACGGGUGCGGAACACGUGUGCAACCUGCCUUUAUCUGGGGGAUAGCCUUUCGAAAGGAAGAUUAAUACCCCAUAAUAUAUUGAGUGGCAUCACUUGAUAUUGAAAACUCCGGUGGAUAGAGAUGGGCACGCGCAAGAUUAGAUAGUUGGUGAGGUAACGGCUCACCAAGUCAAUGAUCUUUAGGGGGCCUGAGAGGGUGAUCCCCCACACUGGUACUGAGGCACGGACCAGACUCCUACGGGAGGCAGCAGUGAGGAAUAUUGGACAAUGGGUUAGCGCCUGAUCCAGCCAUCCCGCGUGAAGGACGACGGCCCUAUGGGUUGUAAACUUCUUUUGUAUAGGGAUAAACCUACUCUCGUGAGAGUAGCUGAAGGUACUAUACGAAUAAGCACCGGCUAACUCCGUG